GCUGGGUAUGGUGGUGCACACCUGUAAUUCCAGUGGCUCAGGAGGCUGAGGCAGGAGGAUUGCAAGUUCAAAGCCAGCCUCAGCAAAAGCGAGGCAUUAAGCAGCACAGUGAGACCCCGCCUCUA
rnacentral:sRNA from 1 species